rnacentral:lncRNA from 1 species
UCAGAUCAGAGGGGGUGUCAGGUAGUAGUGGGUGGCACAAUAAUUCAAGCAAAGAUAGUAUAACCUAGCAAGGAAGCCAUCGUCUAGAGGUACGUUCUCAUACAUAUUGAUUUUGUUUCAUAUUCUCUCACAGACACACAACCGAGAUUUAUUAUCUCUCCCUAGACACUAGACAGUACAUUCCUCCAUUGUUAACCUUGUGAACAUAUACUAAUUCUCAC